AUGCGGGUAGCUCAAUUCGGUAGAGCAGCGGUCUCCAAAACCGCCGGUUGCAGGUUCGAGUCCUGCCCCGUGUG
rnacentral:tRNA from 1 species